AGGAGCCACUUAGCUCAUAGCAACAGAGUAUGCACAUGUGUAUGUAUGUGUGAGCAAGUGUGGUCUCAACCUAACCUUGCCGUGGCCAGAGCUGGGUCAUGAGGCUCCAACUCCAAGCUCCAAGGGAGGCAGGGAUAUGCGGUUUUUCAGCUGAGCCAAUUACCACCAUGAGCAAACGAAGAAGGAGCAUGACUCAAUGAGAAGCAGCAUCUGCCGCAGGUUCCCUGAUCAUCUCUGCACAUCUUAUAUCUCGAGGAAGUAGCCCUGAGGAACUGCACCACUGAAAUAGUGGGAAGCUUCCUGAAGCUUGUGUCUCCCAGUCUUGGCGGUACAUCUCAGAGCUCCUCGACAAGGUCAUUGUCUCAAGGCAAUGUCCUCAAAGCACUCAUCUGAUGUCUUUUUCAACUUUAUCAGCCUGAGCAAAUGUGCAUAGAAACAGGCAAAUGGUACCAACCAGUGGCACAGUGGUUAAAGCAACUGAACCCCACAUGGCUGACUGCACAGCUCAAGUCCCAGA